GUGCCAGCCGCCGCGGUAAUUCCAGCUCCAAUAGCGUAUAUUAAAGUUGUUGUGGUUAAAAAGCUCGUAGUUGAACCUUGGGCCUGGCUGGCCGGUCCGCCUCACCGCGUGCACUGGUCCGGCCGGGCCUCUCCCUCUGUGGAACCCCAUACCCUUCACUGGGCGUGGCGGGGAAACAGGACAUUUACUUUGAAAAAAUUAGAGUGCUCCAGGCAGGCCUAUGCUCGAAUACAUUAGCAUGGAAUAAUAAAAUAGGACGCGCGGUUCUAUUUUGUUGGUUUAUAGGACCGCCGUAAUGAUUAAUAGGGACAGUCGGGGGCAUCAGUAUUCAACUGUCAGAGGUGAAAUUCUUGGAUCAGUUGAAGACUAACUACUGCGAAAGCAUUUUGCCAAGGAUGUUUUCAUUAAUCAGGAACGAAAGUUAGGGGAUCGAAGACGAUCAGAUACCGUCGUAGUCUUAACCAUAAACUAUGCCGACUAGGGAUCGGACGGUGUUAUUCAUGACCCGUUCGGCACCUUACGAGAAAUCAAAGUGCUUGGGCUCCAGGGGAGUAUGGUCGCAAGGCUGAAACUUAAAGAAAUUGACGGAAGGGCACCACCAGGGGUGGAGCCUGCGGCUUAAUUUGACUCAACACGGGGAAACUCACCAGGUCCAGACACAAUAAGGAUUGACAGAUUGAGAGCUCUUUCUUGAUUUUGUGGGUGGUGGUGCAUGGGCGUUCUUAGUUGGUGGGGUGACUUGUCUGCUUAAUUGCGAUAACCGAACGAGACCUUAACCUGCUAAAUAGGCCCGCAAAUGCUCCCGCCA
rnacentral:rRNA from 1 species